rnacentral:lncRNA from 1 species
UCCCUGCUCUUGCACAACAGAUUGUUUGAUGUAGAGAAAUUACCAAAACAAAGUAAUACUUUAGCCGAUCUACCAGUGGUGGUGAAGUCCCUUCUCCUCUGAUCUACAGACAACAGAAGCUGUUGUCCCAAUUCAUGGUUGCUCUUUCCCACUGGCGUGCAGCCUAAGAGAGAAUUGUUUUUAGCUAAAAUUGAUCUCACCUGUGAAUUUCACACUGUAACUUCACAGGCACUGCUGUGUCUCUAAGUGACCGUGGAGUGCAGUCACUUGUGGGGGUCCUUUAAAGAGAAUGAGGAGCAGCCAAGUGGACUCAGUGUUGAAUAAUCACAUAAUAUGGAGGUAAGAACUAGACAGAGAAGCAUAAGAAGAAGUUAUC